AAUCAGAUGCUCCAUUUCCCAGGUCUAGAAAAGCAGCUUUCAGAAAUGACUCCAGAAAGCCGAUAGUUUAGAUUAUUUGUGAAUUCACCAUGAGCCACCACAAUGGUUCCAGUGCUCCUGUUUACCACGGUUUGAUAAACCAAGGAGCAACAUGCCUGCACAGUGUGCUGCAGGUGCUGUUCAUGACAAAAGAGUUCAGAGAAGCUGUGGAGAGGGUCCCAGCUACAGAAAACAACACUGAGUCUAUUGAUCCUGAACUAAAAUCCUUGUUUAGGGAUUUAAAAUCAGGCACAGCUGACACUUGUGAUCUCACAAAGAAGCUGGACAUUCAAAUAGUGCAUGAAAAACAAGAGGCUGCUGAAUUGUUUGAGAGGAUCAUAAGUAAUACUAGUCAUGAGGCUGCACAGAUAUUUCAAGGACAUUUGACACACAGGAAUAAAUGCUCCAUGUGUGGCAGCCACACAAACAAUGACGAAUCAUUUUGGACUCUACCUCUUGAAUUGGAGGAUUCUACAACUAGUUUGGCCUCAAGCUGUCAUGAUCCGUGUCUUUGUUUCUAGUUGUUCCCUGUUUUCACGUCAUGUCCUGCUUGUCUUAUUUUGGUUCCAGUUUCCGUUUCCUGUUUUAUUUUGGUAGUCUCCCGGUCUCUGUUUUGUGUUCUAGCUUUACUUCCGGUUUCUUGUCUUGUCACAGCUGUCCCUGCUCAUUACCCACACCUGCACUCUGUUAGUCAUCAAGUCACUGUGUAUUUAACCACCACCUGUGUCCUUAGUUCGCUGCCAGAUUGUCGUAUUCGAGUUCCCUGAGUGUUCGUGUUUGAUGAGUUGAGUUCCCUGAGUGUUCGUGUUUCCCGUGUCCUGUUCCUGUCUGUAUCAUGUAUCCUGCCCGAUCCUGGAUUGUCUACUUACCGUGAGUUUUUGCCUGUUCCCUGUCUGUACCUUCGCCGAGCCUUUUCGUGUAUGACCUGGACCGUCUGACCGUGCCUUUAAGAAUAAACCUUUUGUGGAUUAUAAUAUCGCCUCCGUG
rnacentral:lncRNA from 1 species